UUUUUUUUUUUUUUUUUUUGGUCUCUGUUGGCUGCUCUUGAACGUGAGUAAAUGCUGUGCAGGGAGAGAGGAGGGAGAGCCACCACAGCCACACACUGCCAUCUCAGGAGCCACAGCCAGGAGACGGACUGACAGAUUGCAAAUUAAAAUAGUCCUAAUGUAAGAAUGAAUGCAGCCCCCCCAAAUCUCUCCCAGCACCAGCCCGUUAGUAAUAAGCCCGGCAGGGAGGGAGCGUUGCUGCGGCUGGGCUGGUCCUGCACCCGGAGAAAGGCUAGGCAGGGACAAUAAAGCCAGUCCCGGGCAGAGAAAAUCACAAGGUGGAGCUGAAUGCAAUGCCCGCAUUUGUGGUUAGCUACAAGCAAAACAUUAUGAAGAUGAUGGUAUUCAGACACAUACUCAAACAACUGGAUUCAGACAAAAAGGAUGCAAGACUGACCAGCAAGAGAAGAACAGGCAUUAUGCAGACCAGCAGCAUUACAGACCUGCUGGAGGAGCUUAGCGGAAGAGCCAAUGCUGCACUGAUGAUGUUUGAACAGAGGCCUGUGGUGGUCCAGCUUGUUGGAAACUUUUGUGUUCAAACCAGAAGGAUGCUGUAAAUGGAGCUAAUCUGUGAGUAAGUUUUCUGGAGGCCAUUAUGUCUCCUACAGUUUUGGGCUUUUUUCUAAAGGAGACAUUGCUCUGUAUGUGUCUAUGUGUGAGGGAGAGAG
rnacentral:lncRNA from 1 species